rnacentral:rRNA from 1 species
UAAGCAUAUCAUUUAGCGGAGGAAAAGAAACUAACAAGGAUUCCCUUAGUUACGGCGAGUGACCGGGAACAGUCCAGCGCUAAAUCGGUGCGUCUCGGCGUACCGACGUGUAGCGUAUAGGCGAUUCGCUUGGUCUAAGUCUCAGGGCACAAGUUUCCCAUGACCGGGGCGCCAAAGAAGGUGAUAGACCUGUAGCGCUCGAGACUUUGGCUGAUUGGUUCGUCUUUGAGUCGGGUUGUUUGGGAUCGCAGCCCAAAGCAGGUGGUAAACUUCACCUAAGACUAAAUAUCCCCACGAGACCGAUAGCAAACAAGUACCGUGAGGGAAAGUUGCAAAGCACUUUGAAGAGAGAGUUAAAGAGGACGUGAAACCGGUAGGAUGGAAGCGGAUAGAGCCAGCGAAGCUGCUCGCAUUCAGCCGAAAGCCACAGGCCUCGGGCGGUUCGGAUGCUAACCACGCCUGACUGUCUAUUCGCUUGUGGUUGAGGUGCAUUUGUGGGUAAUUGCGCUGAGACUUGUGGGGUAGUGGCUGGACGCGUGCAUAGAGGCUUCCCUCUGGGUUGAACCUUUGUACGUCGACGGCUAUUUGCUCUGCUCGUAACCGGGCUUGGCCUACGGGCCUGUGCGUUUCUGUUGCGGCCGUACGGUGAAGUCGCUUGCGAUUUCUAGUUCGGUCGUCGUAGUUGCGUAUAGUGCUCUCAAGUUUGCUCUCGGUGUAGAAGCUGGUCAUCUAUCCGACCCGUCUUGAAACACGGACCAAGGAGUUUAACGUAUGCGCGAGUCAUUGGGUGUUGAAAACCCAUAGGCGCAAUGAAAGUGAAGGCCCAGUCGCUGGGCUUACAUGCGAGUGGUCAGACUGCGGUUUGGCCAUGCAGCAUGGUCCCGUUCCGAUCGCAUGCGAUGGAGCGGAGAUAGAGCGUAUGCGUUGAGACCCGAAAGAUGGUGAACUAUUCCUGAGCAGGACGAAGCCAGAGGAAACUCUGGUGGAAGUCCGAAGCGAUUCUGACGUGCAAAUCGAUCGUCUGACUUGGGUAUAGGGGCGAAAGACUAAU